UACGUAGGUCCCGAGCGUUGUCCGGAUUUAUUGGGCGUAAAGCGAGCGCAGGCGGUUAGAUAAGUCUGAGGUGAAAGGCUGCGGCUUAACCAUAGUAUGCUUUGGAAACUGUUUAACUUGAGUGCAGAAGGGGAGAGUGGAAUUCCAUGUGUAGCGGUGAAAUGCGUAGAUAUAUGGAGGAACACCGGUGGCGAAGGCGGCUUUCUGGUCUGUAACUGACGCUGAGGCUCGAAAGCGUGGGUAGCAAACAGG
rnacentral:rRNA from 1 species